CUCGUCCCUUCGGGGACAUCCGAUAAAAUUGGAACGAUACAGAGAAGAUUAGCAUGGCCCCUGCGCAAGGAUGACACGCACAAAUGGAGAAAUGGUCCAAAUUUUUUUGAGAUUUCGCGCGCAGCUCCUUUUUCUUCUCAGACGUGCCCCUGGAGACUUACUUGCGCACCUUUGUUUCUUUGCGCACGCUUGCAACUAGGUCCCUCCUGGUUGCUUUUUACCACGAAAGUAUCAAGUCCUCUUGCAGCUUCACUUCAGAACUGGCCCUCCAACUUUUCUCUAAAUACAAUACAGUCUGCCUCUUGGCAAUUCACCUGGUCAUUUUCUUGUAACUCCUUUGAAUCAUUAUGUUCCCGUAAAUUAGAACCAAAACUAAAGACUGGAUGUGACAAUAUUCUCUGGUGUAGUUUGUAUGUACGUCCUGGAAAGUGUAAACCGUAG
rnacentral:snRNA from 1 species